rnacentral:rRNA from 1 species
UACAGAGGUCUCAAGCGUUGUUCGGAUUCAUUGGGCGUAAAGGGUGUGUAGGUGGCGCGCUAAGUCGGGUGUGAAAUUUCGGGAGCUUAACUCCGAAACUGCAUUCGAUACUGGCGUGCUUGAGGACUGGAGAGGAGACUGGAAUUCAUGGUGUAGCAGUGAAAUGCGUAGAGAUCAUGAGGAAGACCAGUGGCGAAGGCGGGGUCUCUGGACAGUUCCUGACACUGAGACACGAAGGCCAGGGGAGCAAACGGG